rnacentral:lncRNA from 1 species
UCUUAACUUGUAGAACACGAUCAUACUAAUUUAAAGCUCUAAAAGUCAUGGGAUCUCACUGGAGAAUUCUAAGAAAAUCGGCCAAACUUCGUCCACACGAUCCUGACGUCCAAAACCUUCAAACGAAGCACUCCGAGAUUCCUUGGGACCUCACUAAGCUUGCUAUGAGCUUGGAUUGUCCUAAAACAUAACCAUUUAAAAGUUCAUGAAUAGUGCUCAACUCGAAGCUUGAAGUUUCAACGUGAUAUCGAACGAGUUCUUACCUGAACUAGGUACCUUUGAAUUCGUAUGGUACUCACGAUCACAAUGGUACUAAUUUUGGCCACGAUCCGUGAAGUUUCAAAGGUCUUGGGUGCUUAUCCGUACUAUUUCGAAGGAGAGAGAGUGAAACUGAGAAAGAGAGAAGAGAGAGCACGGGAAAGUGAGACAGAGAGACGGGAUGUGUGGUCCAGAUUUUUGGGUCACCAAUCAAAACAACCCAUUUUCCUUACUUCCAAUUGGGUCCAAAAUAAUAGGAACUUAACACAUUGGUCCUCAACACAUAGUCCCAUAAUGCCACAAACGGUCAAUGGCAUUUUAGUCUUUUCACAUCAACGAUAACAAAAUAAUGUACAUUUAUGGGACAGGUUAUGACAAAGAAGGCAUGUACGUUGAGGAUUCUUGUUUUGAAACCUUCGCACCAUGUUCGCGACAAUUCACUAGCUUCAUUUGAUCUUCUUGACAAUCGCAUUCAUAAUGGAGCC